rnacentral:snRNA from 1 species
GGGCUUUGGCAAGCGCGUACGCUAAAUUGGAUACGAUACAGAGAAGAUUAGCAUGGCCCCUGCGCAAGGA